UACGAGGGGGGCAAAUGUUGUUCGGAAUCACUGGGCGUAAAGGGAGCGUAGGCGGGUUUCUAAGUCAGGUGUUUAAUCCCGGGGCCCAACCCCGGACAGGCACUUGAAACUGGGAAUCUUGAAUAGUGGAGAGGUCAGUGGAAUUGGGGGUGUAGCGGUGGAAUGCGUAGAGAUCCGGAGGAACACCAGGGGCGAAAGCGGUCGACUGGCUGAGUGCUGACACUGAGGCGCGACGGCGUGGGGAGCAAACCGG
rnacentral:rRNA from 1 species